rnacentral:rRNA from 1 species
CCUACGGGAGGCAGCAGUGAGGAAUAUUGCUCAAUGGGCGAGAGUCUGAUGCAGCCAAGUAGCGUGAAGGAUGACUGCCCUCUGGUUUGUAACCUUCUUUUCUAUUGGAAUAAAAUGUUCCACGUGUGGGAUUUUGUAUGUACCAUAUGAAUACGGAUCGGCUAACUCCGUGCCAGCAGCCGCGGUAAUACGGAGGAUCCGAGCGUUAUCCGGAUUUCUUGGGUGUAAAGGGAGCGUAGGUGGAUUGUUAAGUCAGUUGUGAAAGUUUGCGGCUCAACCGGAAAAUUGCAGUUGAAACUGGCAGUCUUGAGUACAGUAGAGGUGGGCGGAAUUCGGGGUGUAGCGGUGAAAUGCUUAGAUAUCACGAAGAACUCCGAUGGCGAAGGCAGCUAACUGGACUUCAACUGACACUGAGGCUCGAAAGUGUGGGUAGCAAACAGGAUUAGAUACCCGAGUAGUC